rnacentral:sRNA from 1 species
AGCGGGAACACUCGCUGCCGGCACUGGGUGCUCUGUGGUGACCGAGGGCUCUCAAGGCCGGUCCUGCAGGGUCCAAGGUGGGUGGGGAAGGUGGGCAGGUUGAGGGUGGGCAGGGUUGAGCUCACAAUUCUGGCUGUGCCCACCCGACAGUGGGCAGGUGCUGGGCCGCCGGUCCUUUGAGGGCCGCAUCUGCGCCUGUCCUGGCCGCGACCGAAAAGCCGAUGAGGACCACUACCGGGAGCAGCAGGCCCUGAACGAAAGCUCCGCCAAGAACGGGGCCGCCAGCAAGCGUGCCUUCAAGCAGAGCCCCCCUGCCGUCCCCGCCCUUGGCGCCGGCGUGAAGAAGCGGCGGCAUGGAGACGAGGACACGUACUACCUGCAGGUGCGAGGCCGGGAGAACUUUGAGAUCCUGAUGAAGCUGAAAGAGAGCCUGGAGCUGAUGGAGUUGGUGCCGCAGCCACUGGUGGACUCCUAUCGGCAGCAGCAGCAGCUCCUACAGAGGCCGCCCUGGGAUGCUCAACAACCAUGGCCACGCAGUGCCAGCCAACGGCGAGAUGGGCAGCAGCCACAGCGCCCAGUCCAUGGUCUCGGGGUCCCACUGCACUCCGCCACCCCCGUACCACGCCGACCCCAGCCUCGUCAGUUUUUUAACAGGAUUGGGGUGUCCAAACUGCAUCGAGUAUUUCACCUCCCAAGGGUUACAGAGCAUUUACCACCUGCAGAACCUGACCAUUGAGGACCUGGGGGCCCUGAAGAUCCCCGAGCAGUACCGCAUGACCAUCUGGCGGGGCCUGCAGGACCUGAAGCAGGGCCACGACUACAGCACCACGCAGCAGCUGCUCCGCUCCAGCAACGCGGCCACCAUCUCCAUCGGCGGCUCAGGGGAACUGCAGCGCCAGCGGGUCAUGGAGGCCGUGCACUUCCGCGUGCGCCACACCAUCACCAUCCCCAACCGCGGCGGCCCAGGCGGCGGCCCUGACGAGUGGGCAGACUUCGGCUUCGACCUGCCCGACUGCAAGGCCCGCAAGCAGCCCAUCAAGGAGGAGUUCACGGAGGCCGAGAUCCAUUGAGGGCCUCGCCUGGCCGCAGCCUGCGCCACCGCCCAGAGACCCAAGCCGCCUCCCCUCUCCUUCCUGUGUGUCCAAAACUGCCUCAGGAGGCAGGACCUUCGGGCUGUGCCCGGGGAAAGGCAAGGUCCGGCCCAUCCCCAGGCACCUCACCGGCCCCAGGAGAGGCCCAGCCACCGAAGCCGCCUGUGGACAGCCUGAGUCACCUGCAGAACCUUCUGGAGCUGCCCUAGCGCUGGGCUUGUGGGGCAGGGGCUGGCCCACUCUCAGCCCUGCCACUGCCCCGGCGUG